GAAGUAGUACAUAGAAGGCCUAAAUUACAAAAAUACAUAGUUCCAAAAAGACAACCCAGAACAUGGCCCAUUGCCGAGAUAAACACAUACAAGCAAGAGGUCUUCUUCACAGGUACAAGCCUUCGUUGACCAGAUUGAUCUCCCCCAACCGACAGUCCUUUAAUCUGCAACUUUUACGCUACAGGAAUGGAAAAAGAGGAAUGAGCUAUAAAGCCCAGUAAGUAGAUCACAACAUCAGGCUUCCCUUCUUAUGGAUACUAUCUCACAACAAAAAUAAAGAUUCUAAGCCAUGCUCAUAAAACAAGAGUCAUGCAUCACAAUUAUAGGAUGAUACUUUUCAUGGUAGAGCAGGCACAAUAUAAGAUGUCAGAUAUCAUAUACAUUAGCAAUCUAUCAGAUUUCAAUAGAUCCACACAAAUAAGAGAGCAUAACAAAAUCAACAGACACAAUCCACUCUCUAGCCCUAUUUAUCAGGCCACUCCCAUAUCUCGCAAAUCGAUCAUAUAACUUAGGUAAUCAUAUAUCUCAAGUCAAUUUCACAUCUUAAGUCGAUUACAUAUCUCAGGCGACUACCAAUCUUGGGUGAUGCAAUUUGCACAAAGCAUUGACAGGAAGUCACAUUUCACCUUGUGUGCACUUCACUGGUGUCAGUUACUAAGGCAGGCCCUGCAAUAUGCUCAAAGCAGGCACCUUAGAAUCAGAUAUCAGUCACAGAAUCACAAUAUCCAACUACCAAUGGGUGACCCAUUGCAUAGUAGUUAGUAUCAUAGUAUAACAGUCUCAAUACAUAUCACCUCAUGCGCACUUAGAAGUGACAUAUUCCAGUCAAUGCAAUAUACCCAAAGCAUAUCGAGAAAUCCCAUAUCAUCAAAGAUAUCACCAUGUCAAUAGCCGGCCGUACAAUACGCUUAAAGAACGCCAAUAUCUCAGUAUGGUCGUAUAUCAUAGUACAUUUAUAUAUCACAGUAUGGUCAUGCAAUACGCUCAAAGCAUGCCAUUCAAUCACAUAUCACAAUAUUACGAAUCAUAGUAUCACAUAUCUUAGCAUGAUAAUAUCCCACUACUCAGAGCAUAGUGUUUCACAUCACAUCGUAGCAUAUCUCAUCAUAAGCAUUCUCUGACUCGGAGCAUUCAUGGUAUCAUAAGAAGAUAUACAUAGCUCCUGAUUCAUCAGGAGUCUCAACUUAGUCACAAUAUGACAAUUGCCGCAAACACAAGGUGGUAUGAAGUCAAUUGAUAGCCAUUUGAUCAGUCAACAUUUAGGCACAACAUAAAUAUUGGUGUUGGAAUUCCUACAUUCUACUACAGUGACAUGUCCCUCUUAUUAAAGGCAUAACUCUCAAUCUAGAGGGCGUCUCAAAAUGAUUUCAACAUGCAACUUUAAGAAAACACACAUAUAUAUAUAUAAUGACAGUAGUUUGGGAGCAAUCAUGCUCCAUUUGGUCAAUCAAAUCCCAUGACAACAGUGAUCAAAUUUGAACUUUCCUAAAAUCUGCUAACAGUGACAGAUCCUCAAAAUUUGGAACAUAACUUCUAAUCUAGAGGGAAUUUCAAGAUAAUUUAUCAUGUAACUUUAAGAAAACAUACUGAUAUUUCAAAUGGAAGAGGUUUGAGAGUAAUAAGACUCUAUUUAAUCAGUCAAAACCCAUGGCAACUGAGGCAACAAUUCUACAUUUCAGUGAAUCUGCUAACAUAGACAUGCCUUCACAAUUCAGAUCAUAGCUCCCCAAUCAUAUGGAAUUAGAACUAGGUUAAAACACCAAAAUCACAAUAGACUCUUGUAUGGUUGUGAUUUCGUGUCAUUUGGACUUCAAUAGGUUAGGCAAAGUCUCAGUGCAACAGAAGCAAUGUUCCUAAAAAUUAUCACAGUCUACUAAUAGUGACAUACAUGUAUAAAAUGAAACAUAUCCUCUAAACCAUCAAAGAUCUCAACUAGACAUAAACAGAAAACUCAAAGUAGACUCAAAUAUGUUUCCAAUGGUGGUAAUUUGAGGUCAUUCUGAGAUCAUUUGGUAUUCUAACAGAGAGUCAGAAGAACCUCAAUGCUCCCUAUAAUUUCACAGUCCAGCCAUAACAUACUUCAAAGAUCAAAGUAUAAUUCUAAACUACACAAGAUAACCACAUGAACCAAUUCUAGCUUAAAUUAGACUCACAAGAGCAUUAACCCACAAAUUUUCAAGCUCAAUAGAAAUUACAACAGUGUAUAGCAUAUCUUACAAACAAGACCCACGAUUUGAAAAACAGAACACAAAACAUGCAUACAAUCCUACUCAUUCACACAAUGUCUAUACAUGCCCAAAACCUGACUCAUGCUUAAUUCAAUACUUCAUUCAUGCUUAAAUCAUUCUUUCACAUAAUAGUAUGAUCCACUUACCUUAACAACAAAGGUGCCUUCUCCAAACCUUCUUUCACAGCCUUCUCUUGCUCCAACAAUGGCUGCCUCCCAUAGAAGUUCUCCAAACUUUUGCCUUAGAGAGAGAGAAGAGAUGAGAG
rnacentral:lncRNA from 1 species